UUGAAUCCAAUGGAUGUUGCUGGUGUCCGAGAGGGCACAUGUGCACUCCGCCUUUCAAUCCACCUGUGCACUCUUUGUAGGCGCGGAUUAAGUUCUGCUGCCUAUGUCUUUAUACACCCCAUUAUAAAGUCCAUAGAAUGAAUAGUAGGCCUUUUUGGUCGAAAUGUAAUA
rnacentral:misc_RNA from 1 species